CCUACGGGCGGCAGCAGUGGGGAAUAUUGGGCAAUGGGCGCAAGCCUGACCCAGCAACGCCGCGUGAAGGAAGAAGGCUUUCGGGUUGUAAACUUCUUUUUACAGGGAAGAGUAGAAGACGGUACCUGUCGAAUAAGCCACGGCUAACUACGUGCCAGCAGCCGCGUGAAUACGGAGGUGGCAAGCGUUGUCCGGAUUUACUGGGUGUAAAGGGCGUGUAGGCGGGUUGACAAGUCAGAGGUGAAAUCCGGCGGCUUAACCGCAGCACUGCAUUUGAUACUGUUGAUCUUGAGUACUGGAGCGGCAGGCGGAAUGCCUGGUGUAGCGGUGAAAUGCGUAGAUAUUA
rnacentral:rRNA from 1 species